AACGUUUUAUUCAUAGUAAUGUUAUUGAUAGUCGUGUCUUUUAUGUACGUCGUUAGCAGUCACUUCACGUUAUCCAGUUCGCUGUGUUAUUAAUAAUCACGCUGUUAAUGGUCAUGGUAAUAGAAUAUUUCUGUUCUGGAACCGUGAUGAUGUUCUUACGAAAGAGUUCCAGAACUACUGUGUAGUUCUUGUUCAGGGGAGUUCUGGAACUGUGUAGUUCCUGUUCAGGCGAGUCCAGGAACUGUGUAGUUCCUGUUCAGUAACAGUGAAUUUCCUGUUCAGGAGAAUACUGUCACUGUUUAGUUCCUGUUGAGGUGAGUCUAGGAACUGUGUAGUUCCUGUUCUGUAACUGUGUAGUUCCUGUUCAGGAGAAUACUGUCACUGUGUAGUUCCUGUUGAGGUGAGUCUAGGAACUGUGUAGUUCCUGUUCUGUAACUGUGUAGUUCCUUUUGAGGUGAGUUCAGGAACUGUGUAGUUCCUGUUCUGUAACUGUGUAGUUCCUUUUGAGGUGAGUUCAGGAACUGUGUAGUUCCUGUUCUGUAACUGUGUAGUUCCUGUUCAGGAGAAUACGGUAACUGUGUAGUUCCUGUUGAGGCGAGUCUAGGAACUGUGUAGUUCCUGUUCUGUAACUGUGUAGUUCCUCUUGAGGCGAGUCCAGGAACUGUGUAGUUCCUCUUGAGGCAGUCCAGGAACUGUGUAGUUCCUUUUGAGGUGAGUUCAGGAACUGUGUAGUUCCUGUUCUGUAUCUGUGUAGUUCCUGUUCUGUAUCUGUGUAGUUCCUGUUCUGUAACUGUUUAGUUCCUGUUCUGUAUCUGUGUAGUUCCUGUUCUGUAACUGUGUAGUUCCUUUUGAGGUGAGUUCAGGAACUGUGUAGUUCCUGUUCUGUAACCGUGUAGUUCCUGUUCUGUAACCGUGUAGUUCCUGUUCUGUAACUGUGUAGUUCCUGUUGAGGCGAGUCCAGGAACUGUGUAGUUCCUUUUGAGGUGAGUUCAGGAACUGUGUAGUUCCUGUUCUGUAACUGUGUAGUUCCUUUUGAGGUGAGUUCAGGAACUGUGUAGUUCCUGUUCUGUAACUGUGUAGUUCCUGUUGAGGUGAGUUCAGGAACUGUGUAGUUCCUGUUCUGUAACAGUGAAUUCCUUGUUCAGUAGCGUUCAGGAACUGUGUAGUUCUUGUUCAGGUUAGUUGUGGGACCUUUCGUUGUCUCAGAAGGUUCUGGAACACAGCUGUUUGAAUAUAGUCCACACUACUGUUUAGCAAGUUAGCAAAUUGAUGUUGGGUAUCUAAGCAUUUAGCAGCCUGGUUACCAUGACAACAGGCCACUGUUUGUGACCAUAGUUACCAUGUAUUUUAUCAUGCUAUUUUUUUUUUCUUCAUUAUUGCAGUAUUUUUAGAUGUAGCCAUGGAGAAUCUGGAGCUCACAUCAUUUGUAAAAUAAAUAAAUAAAUGAAUCCAUCUUUAAACCUCAUUUCCUCCUGAGCCGAGUGCAGACUCGGAAUUUACGCCGGUUCUCUGUAGACUUUCUUAUACAGGACAAAAACCCGGCAUGUGAAGCUGCUCCUGAUGCAGUCAGCGUUUCAGUACCAGCUUCAGGAAUGUAAAAAGUGUCUCAUGCUGCGCCGUUCCUCCGGCGUUCCUCUGGUGUUCAUAACGCUCUGCGAUUGUCCAUCUGGACGCCGCUCCGCUGAGUCACUCCAUCUACAGACCGACUGCAGACGCAACACGUCCCUCCUGCUGCGUCACUGUCCGGCUUCAGCACCGAGAGGGACGUGAAGCAGACGUGGACUGAAAGACACACACAUGCUCAUCUCCCACGUUCACAUCUGCCGAGUUCUCUCGCGGUUUGACGAUCCGUUCUCGUCCUGAAUUUUAAUAAAAGUAAUAUCUGAGAUAUGACCAGUCAUAAGAUCGUCACUCAGUAAACUCGGUAAUUGUUGCUUCUGAAAAGUGUGUGCACUUUUACAUGACGGGAAGAUUGUAAUAUUCGAAGGAAAAAAAAUGGCAAAGAGUCGUUUGGGAUCUGGUGAGUCGACUCGUAUUGGUGAGUCGAAUCAAACUAAUCGACUCAUUGAAACCCGCUCGGUAAACUCAAUAGCUGUUGCUUCUUGUAAAUAUAUAAACAUAUUACAGGGAAUGUGCGCACUUUGACAUGACAGGAAGAUCGUAAUAUUAAAUGUCAUGCUCUGUAAAAAUUCAAAAAAAUAUCAGUGAGUCAUUUGGGAGCUGAAAGAGUCAAGACAGAUUGGUGAACUGAGUCAAAUGAUUUGAAUCCCUGGAACAAGGCGGAAUUUCCAUCGCUUGUGUGAACGCAGGCCGACGACAGGCUCGUCCGUUAUUUAACUGGUUUUACCUACAACUUAGAGACGGCACGGAUCCGAUACCUGGUAUCGGACAUCGCAGAAAACGUAUUGGACGUCGGAUCCUGUAACAAGACUGCAGAAGAUUGGAUGCGGAUUUGGAAAAGAAACGCGUUUCUGGAACUGGAAAUAUUUACAUAUGGAAAAACUUGACCGUCUCUUUGAUUAGAUUAGAUUAGAUUGCUUUUAUUCUAUUUAUUCUUUAUGAUGUUUAUUGUGUUUACGGUGUUGGUUUACUCAAAGUCAUUCUUCACCUUCAUCACGUAAACGUGAACGUGGUCGUGAAGUGAUCAGUUCUGUGUUUUUGAGGAAGCCGUGAGGAAAUGGAAAUGCGAAGGCAUGACGUUAGCGCGGUCCUAUAACGUCACUAGAACCGUUCGUUUGCGUCCAAACCGCGACCGACGAGGGCGCGCCGGUCGUCGGUUCGACAUCGGCGGGAGUCCACGACUGAAAUGAACGAAACGGAUCCAUCACAAGAGCAGGUCCGGAUAAUCCCGGGCCGGGCCGGGCUCGGGCCAACGCGGACGUUUUCACCUCGCCGUGUUUACACGGCUCCUCGUUCUGCCCGUGUUCGAAUAUAAAAGCAUGCGCUCGGAUCCGUCCGUCACGUCGUUACUUUUCCUCUUUUAUUACCCGGGCCGCUGACUCGCGCUGGGCUUUGGGAAUCUUCAUUAUCAGACCCUGAGGUAAUAAUCUCCUGCGUGGUGUUCCUAAUCAGAUUGAGAUUUACAACAGUGACUAAACCGCACAAGUCCAGUAGACGUUGCUCCGCACGGCCCGGUUCCGUCCAGAUAUUUUCGCAUUGUGUUUUGUUUUUUUUAACGGGGUUUAAACUGACAGUGCUGACACGUUCUUUUCCCGCAGUGACGUGGUCGCGUAUGUCGUGUUAAACGCACUCCAUUUUAAUCACCUACGCCGUAGCUUCCGUUGUAAUCGCUGUUUAUUCUCCCAAUCUCUGGAUUAUUUUUCUCCCCUCUCGCCUUGAUGUGAGGAUGUUAACUACCGAUGGCGUGACAUCAAAGUUAAAAGGAAAAAAAAAACUAUCUCUGUAUGUAAACAUUUCUUCUCUAAAUCCAACUCCAGUGUUCCCAGUUCCCAAAAUUCCCUGUUCCUGGUUUAAUAUGUUCCCAGUUUCCUAUGUUCCCAUUGGCCUGUGUUUCCCAUUCCUUACGUUGCCAGUUUCCUAAAAUUCCCCAUUUUCGAUGUCCCAGUUUGAUAUGUACUCAGUUCUCGAUGUUCCAGUUUAAUAUGUACUCGGUUCUCGAUGUUCCAGUUUGAUAUGUACUCGGUUCUCGAUGUUCCAGUUUGAUAUGUACUCGGUUCUCGAUGUUCCAGUUUAAUAUGUACUCUGUUCUCGAUGUUCCGGUUUGAUAUGUACUCAGUUCUCGAUGUUCCAGUUUAAUAUGUACUCGGUUCUCGAUGUUCCAGUUUAAUAUGUACUCAGUUCUUUAUGUUCCGGUUUGAUAUGUACUCUGUUCUCGAUGUUCCGGUUUGAUAUGUACUCUGUUCUCGAUGUUCCGGUUUGAUAUGUACUCGGUUCUUGAUGUUCCAGUUUGAUAUGUACUCGGUUCUCGAUGUUCCAGUUUGAUAUGUACUCAGUUCUUUAUGUUCCGGUUUAAUAUGUACUCUGUUCUCGAUGUUCCAGUUUGAUAUGUACUCUGUUCUCGAUGUUCUGGUUUGAUAUGUACUCGGUUCUUGAUGUUCCAGUUUGAUAUGUACUCAGUUCUCGAUGUUCCCAGUUUGAUAUGUACUCGGUUCUCGAUGUUCCCGUUUGAUAUGUACUCUGUUCUCGAUGUUCCGGUUUGAUAUGUACUCGGUUCUUGAUGUUCCAGUUUGAUAUGUACUCGGUUCUCGAUGUUCCAGUUUGAUAUGUACUCGGUUCUUGAUGUUCCAGUUUGAUAUGUACUCGGUUCUCGAUGUUCCCGGUUUAAUAUGUACUCGGUUCUCGAUGUUCCAGUUUAAUAUGUACUCGGUUCUCGAUGUUCCCAGUUGCCUAUAUUCCCAAAUCUCUAUGGUCCCAGUUCCCAGUAAGCCCAGUUCCAUAUGUUUCCAGUUUGUCUGUCCGCAGUGUCACGUGUUCUCCGUGUUCUCCGUGUUCUCCGUGUUCUCGGGUCGCUCUGUGAACACGCUCGGUGUUUUGGGAGCUUUCAGGUUUCUGAUUUCUUUUCUUUUUUUUCUUUUUUCUUUUUUUCUUUCUCAAUUUCAGCCUCAAAAAACUCCAAAAUUGCAAGAAAGUUUCUGAGCCGUUUGUCCAGAUCGUUAAAAUCUCCUCGGUUCUGGGAAUAAGCCGAGUCGGAUGGAGAGCCUUGAACAAUGUGGAGUUAUUUGUGACUCGGAGCAGUGGAAGUGGAAGCGCGAGGUUAGCAGGCAGUCGGUCAAUGGCAGGAACUUCCCCGUUUUUAGGGCAGGAAGUGUUGUGAUUGAGCCGACAUAAC
ensembl:lncRNA